GCUCCGGUGGCCUUGUGGUAGAGCGUCCGCCUCGGAUGCGGGAGGUCUUGGGUUCGAUAUUUAGCCGAGUCA